CGCAGGCUACGGCUACAGAUCUUCCACCUGGGGUCUUCAGCGCAAACCGUCUCUACUGGCUAGUAUGGAGGCAUAGUUUGAAUAUUGUUGCAGAAGGUGCGUUGGAAUUAAAAGACCAACAGGAUCCUUAGUGUAUCUACGACUUCUAAUGACCUGGAUGGUUAGUUCCCACUUUGUCCGUCCUCUUAUCCUAUUCCUACCCACCACAAUCCUUUGAGACAUCAGCAAACACUAGGCCACCAACAUUGAAGAGGCAUGUACAAAUGUGGCACAGUAUCAGAGGAAGAGGAGCCAAUGCAGAGAGGUCAUCUGAUUGUUCUCACGACUUUUCUCAACUGCCUGAUAGAAGUAUUCUGUAAGAUUCUGAGCCCAGCUGACACCACGUGUCAGUUGGAUAAUUGUAGAAUCUGAGGCAAA